rnacentral:tRNA from 1 species
CGCUAGGGUGGCAGAGCAUGGUAAUUGCGAGAAGCCUAAGCCUUCUUCCCCAGAGGUUCAAGUCCUCUCCCCAGCU